GAUGAACGCUGGCGGCGUGCCUAAUACAUGCAAGUCGAGCGAACAGAUAAGGAGCUUGCUCCUUUGACGUUAGCGGCGGGCGGGUGAGUAACACGUGGAUAACCUACCUAUAAGACUGGGAUAACUUCGGGAAACCGGAGCUAAUACCGGAUAACAUAUUGAACCGCAUGGUUCAAUAGUGAAAGGCGGCUUUGCUGUCACUUAUAGAUGGAUCCGCGCCGUAUUAGCUAGUUGGUAAGGUAACGGCUUACCAAGGCAACGAUACGUAGCCGACCUGAGAGGGUGAUCGGCCACACUGGAACUGAGACACGGUCCAGACUCCUACGGGAGGCAGCAGUAGGGAAUCUUCCGCAAAGGGCGAAAGCCUGACGGAGCAACGCCGCGUGAGUGAUGAAGGUCUUCGGAUCGUAAAACUCUGUUAUCAGGGAAGAACAAAUGUGUAAGUAACUGUGCACAUCUUGACGGUACCUGAUCAGAAAGCCACGGCUAACUACGUG
rnacentral:rRNA from 1 species